rnacentral:rRNA from 1 species
GACGAACGCUGGCGGCGUGCUUAACACAUGCAAGUCGAACGGAAAGGCCCCUUUGGGGGUACUCGAGUGGCGAACGGGUGAGUAACACGUGAGUAACCUGCCCUUGACUUCGGGAUAACUUCAGGAAACUGGAGCUAAUACCGGAUAGGAAUCCUUGCUGCAUGGUGGGGGUUGGAAAGCUUCGGCGGUUUUGGAUGGACUCGCGGCUUAUCAGCUUGUUGGUGGGGUAGUGGCUUACCAAGGCUUUGACGGGUAGCCGGCCUGAGAGGGCGACCGGCCACAUUGGGACUGAGAUACGGCCCAGACUCCUACGGGAGGCAGCAGUGGGGAAGAUUGCACAAUGGGCGGAAGCCUGAUGCAGCAACGCCGCGUGCGGGAUGACGGCCUUCGGGUUGUAAACCGCUUUCAGCAGGGGCGAAGCUUGUGGUGACGGUACCUGCAGAAGAAGCACCGGCUAACUACGUG